rnacentral:rRNA from 1 species
AACGAACGCUGGCGGCAUGCCUAACACAUGCAAGUCGAACGAGACCUUCGGGUCUAGUGGCGCACGGGUGCGUAACGCGUGGGAACCUGCCCUUAGGUUCGGAAUAACUCCCCGAAAGGGGUGCUAAUACCGGAUAAUGUCUUCGGACCAAAGAUUUAUCGCCUUUGGAUGGGCCCGCGUUGGAUUAGCUAUUUGGUAGGGUAAAAGCCUACCAAGGCGACGAUCCAUAGCUGGUCUGAGAGGGUGAUCAGCCACGCUGGGACUGAGACACGGCCCAGACUCAGAGGGGAGGCAGCAGUAGGGAAUAUUACGGAAGGGGCGAAAGCGUGAUGGAGCAACGCCGCGGGAGUGAUGAAGGUCUUCGGAUCGUAAAGAUCUGUGAGUAGGAAAGAAGAGAAGUGUAUGUAACCGUGCAGAUCUUGACGGUACCUAAACAGAAAGCCACGGCUAACUGCGUG